rnacentral:rRNA from 1 species
CACGUAGGGUGCGAGCGUUGUCCGGAAUUAUUGGGCGUAAAGAGCUCGUAGGCGGUGUGUCGCGUCGGCCGUGAAAACCUGCAGCUUAACUGUGGGCUUGCGGUCGAUACGGGCAUCACUGGAGUUCGGCAGGGGAGACUGGAAUUCCUGGUGUAGCGGUGAAAUGCGCAGAUAUCAGGAGGAACACCGGUGGCGAAGGCGGGGUCUCUGGGCCGAUACUGACGCUGGAGGAGCGAAAGC